rnacentral:rRNA from 1 species
AAUAGAUACCCGGGUAGUCCACGCCGUAAACGAUGAGUGCUAAGUGUUAGAGGGUUUCCGCCCUUUAGUGCUGAAGUUAACGCAUUAAGCACUCCGCCUGGGGAGUACGGCCGCAAGGCUGAAACUCAAAGGAAUUGACGGGGGCCCGCACAAGCGGUGGAGCAUGUGGUUUAAUUCGAAGCAACGCGAAGAACCUUACCAGGUCUUGACAUCCUCUGACAACCCUAGAGAUAGGGCUUCUCCUUCGGGAGCAGAGUGACAGGUGGUGCAUGGUUGUCGUCAGCUCGUGUCGUGAGAUGUUGGGUUAAGUCCCGCAACGAGCGCAACCCUUGAUCUUAGUUGCCAUCAUUCAGUUGGGCACUCUAAGGUGACUGCCGGUGACAAACCGGAGGAAGGUGGGGAUGACGUCAAAUCAUCAUGCCCCUUAUGACCUGGGCUACACACGUGCUACAAUGGACGGUACAAAGAGCUGCAAGACCGCGAGGUGGAGCUAAUCUCAUAAAACCCGUUCUCAGUUCGGA